rnacentral:misc_RNA from 1 species
AAGUCAUAACAAGGUCUCCGUUGGUGAACCAGCGGAGGGAUCAUUACAGAGUUGCAAAACUCCCCAAACCAUCGUGAACCUUUACCGCUAAACAGUUGCUUUGGCGGGUGGCCCGCGGGAGGAAUCCAAAAAACCAUCGCUUUCAGUACCGGCCCCUCUGAGUUACUGUACUUUUAAUUAAGUCAAAACUUUCAACAACGGAUCUCUUGGUUCUG